rnacentral:rRNA from 1 species
UACCUUAAUCAGGGGGAUAGCCCGGAGAAAUCCGGAUUAACACCGCAUAACAUUAUCGAGUGGCAUCACUGGAUAAUCAAAUAUUUAUAGGAUUAAGAUGAGCAUGCGUGACAUUAGUUAGUUGGUGAGGUAACGGCUCACCAAGACCACGAUGUCUAGGGGAUCUGAGAGGAUGACCCCCCACACUGGUACUGAGACACGGACCAGACUCCUACGGGAGGCAGCAGUAAGGAAUAUUUGGUCAAUGGGGCGCAAGCCUGAACCAGCCAUGCCCGCGUGCAGGAAGACGGC